rnacentral:rRNA from 1 species
UACGUAGGGGGCAAGCGUUGUCCGGAUUUAUUGGGCGUAAAGAGCGUGUAGGCGGCUUUACAGGUCCGUUGUGAAAACUCGAGGCUCAACCUCGAGACGCCGGUGGAAACCGUAAGGCUAGAGUCCGGAAGAGGAGAGUGGAAUUCCUGGUGUAGCGGUGAAAUGCGCAGAUAUCAGGAAGAACACCCGUGGCGAAGGCGGCUCUCUGGAACGGUACUGACGCUGAGACGCGAAAGCGUGGGGAGCGAACAGG